rnacentral:tRNA from 1 species
GGGGUUGUAGUUUAAUGGUAAAAUGCUGGCUUGUCGCGCCACGCGAUAUGGGUUCGACUCCCGUCAUCCCCG